UGAGGAAUAUUGCACAAUGGGCGCAAGCCUGAUGCAGCAACGCCGCGUGCGGGACGAAGGCCUUCGGGUCGUAAACCGCUUUUCUGGGGGAAGAGCAAGGACGGUACCUCAGGAAUAAGUCUCGGCUAACUACGUGCCAGCAGCCGCGGUAAAACGUAGGAGGCGAGCGUUAUCCGGAUUUACUGGGCGUAAAGCGCACGCAGGCGGCUCUGUUGGUCGGACGUGAAAGCUCUCGGCUUAACCGGGAGAGGCCGUUCGAUACUGCGGGGCUUGAGGUAGGGAGAGGAAUGCGGAAUUCCCGGUGUAGUGGUGGAAUGCGUAGAUAUCGGGAGGAACACCUGUGGCGAAAGCGGCAUUCUGGCCCUCACCUGACGCUGAGGUGCGAAAGCGUGGGUAGCAAACA
rnacentral:rRNA from 1 species